rnacentral:rRNA from 1 species
UACGAAGGGUGCAAGCGUUACUCGGAAUUACUGGGCGUAAAGGGCGCGUGGGCGGCCUACUAAGUCAGACGUGAAAUCCCCGGGCUUAGCCUGGGAACUGCAUUUGUGACUGCAUCGCUGGAGUGCGGCAGAGGGGGAUGGAAUUCCGCGUGUAGCAGUGAAAUGCGUAGAUAUGCGGAGGAACACCGAUGGCGAAGGCAAUCCCCUGGGCCUGCACUGACGCUCAUGCACGAAAGCGUGGGGAGCAAACAGG